GGGAUUAGAGCACAGGUGUACGGCAUGCAAGUAACACAUGCUAAUCCCUCUCGUUACUUCAGCUUCACCCAGGACUUCAUCGGGGAGUUAGCUGUGUUGUGCACAGGGCUGAAGAGCGACAGUGACUUCUGGAGAACCCGAGGAUUCAGAAAGAACAGAGAAGGUGACUCAAUUAUUGGAGGAAACAUGUAGAGUCGAGUCCUCUAAUUGCAAAUUACAGAAAACAACAAGCAUAAACCCUAUGUGAACAAAACAGAAGAUCUUCAAAGGGCCAGGAUCCCUAUACCUUCUCCCGGUUCU
rnacentral:lncRNA from 1 species